UACGGAGGGUGCAAGCGUUAUCCGGAUUCAUUGGGCUUAAAGGGUGCGUAGGUGGGUUGGUAAGUCCGUGGUGAAAUCUCCGAGCUUAACUCGGAAACUGCCGUGGAUACUAUCAAUCUUGAAUACUGUGGAGGUAAGCGGAAUAUGUCAUGUAGCGGUGAAAUGCUUAGAUAUGACAUAGAACACCGAUAGCGGAGGCAGCUUGCUACACAGUCAUUGACACUGAGGCACGAAAGCGUGGGGAUCAAACAGG
rnacentral:rRNA from 1 species